UCGCUACUACCGAUUGAAUGAUUUAGUGAAUUUCAGGGACUUGAGCCUUCAGUUGGGUUUCCUUCUGUUGAUUCUGGGAACUGACGUAAACUUGACCAUUUAGAGGAAGUAA
rnacentral:rRNA from 1 species